rnacentral:rRNA from 1 species
AACGAACGCUGGCGGCAUGCCUAACACAUGCAAGUCGAACGCGACCUUCGGGCCUAGUGUCGCUCGGGUGCGUACCGCGUGGUAACCUGCCCUUAGUUUCGGAAUAACUACCCGCAAGGUGUCCUAAUACCGGAUUAUGUCUUCGUACCUAAGAUGUAUGGGCUUUGGUUGUGCCCGCGUUGUAUUAGCUAGUUGGUAGUUUAAAAGCCUACCAAGGCGACGAUCCAUAGCUGGUCUGAGAGGAUGAUCAGCAACACUGGGAGUGAGACACGGACCAGACUCUUACGAGAGGAAGAAGUGGGGAAUAUUGGACAAUGGGCGAAAGACUGAUCCAGCAAUGCCGCGUGAGUGAGGAAGGAGUUAGGGUUGUAAAGCUGUGUUAACAGGGAUGAUAAUGACAGUACCGGGAGAAUAAGCGCCGGCUAACUCCGUG